rnacentral:lncRNA from 1 species
CAGCAAAGGCAGCAGCACAACACCGUACCAAAAGCAGUAGCAUACAGUAGUAGGAUACCAGACAGUCUCGAAGCACACAGCAUUACAGGAUCCAAUUACAGUAAAAAGUAUCAUAAUGGGAUGCAUUCAAAAAGGAAGCGGAGGAUGACAGUCUAGACUUAAUGAUGAGAACAACAUCCUUAGCAAUACAGGAUGGGUGUACAAAAUUAUCAUUGUGGAUUUUCAAGUUCCUCGACUCCCAAAUCUUGUAAAAUGUAACACCAAGAGUAAGAUAGAGAAUUUGUUUAGUGAGUCGUCGACCUUGGAAGGAAAGGAUGAAAUCAGUAAUACCAAUCCAAUCCAUAUUGGAAAUAACCC